AAGGCCCUAGUAAAUUAAUUAUAUAGCCCUGUCAGAGCUAAGUAACAGAUUAAACAUCUGUGGGCCUCG
rnacentral:tRNA from 1 species